UCAUAUUGAACAAUUUGGAACAACAACUACAUGAGUGGAAGCUUACUUGAAUCCAUAUGUGGAAAUCCUUGAACCUCCUUUGAUGAUUGUUUGAAGUGUGCCUUAGCAAGUUCCUUAGUCCUUCCUUCAAGAUUGUCUUCUUGAUCCUUCUUGAAGUAUGGAUUUCACAACUACAAUAAUAUCACAAUAACCAAAGUUGGUGUAUGGCUUUCCACAAGAAUAUCACACAAGACCAAGUAUGGGAAUGGUUUUCCACAAGAAUUUGCAAGACAACAAUGGAGUUUCUCUUGAUUCAAUAUGAGGAAGAAGAGAUUAUGUCUUGCAAUAAUGUGGGAACCAUA
rnacentral:lncRNA from 1 species